UUAUAUGUUUGUUUUUUUGUUUUGUUUUUUGUAAUUCAUUGUUGAUAUUUUAAAUUGAUAGUAUCACUUAUAAUAUUGUUGUAAUUGCUACAACUUUUCAACUUUGAAACUAUUUUUCUCAAUUAAUACUGUAGUGUUUAUACACGGUGGAAGUUGCUGAAGUGUGCGGCGUGCUCCCUGACCUACUGACUGAGUCAUCUCUGACUACUACAGAGAUGAUGGCAUGCAACUGUGGAGCAUCAUCAGCAAUCUCAAUGUUGCAAGGUUGGUUUUCCGCCUGGGGAUGCU